rnacentral:tRNA from 1 species
GAGGGUAGAGCUCAGUGCUAGAGCACGUGCUUGGCGCGCACGCGGUCCUGGGUUCCAUCUCCAGUACCUCCA